ACAGGGCGUCCAUGGAGCCUUGUGGACAUUCUCAAGCUGGAUGGAGACAAUCACACUGCUGUCAAGAAAAAACAAAACAUAAUUGCUAUCAGCCAUGCCGCUCCAUAAUCACAUCGUGAAAGAGGCCUGGACGCAAGACAGGAUUCAAGAGCUUGAGGAUUCUGCGCCAGCCCCCGAGCAACAAGACCAUGUAAAUCUUUAGUUUAAAGUAAAAAAAUAUACAAUUCUAUCUAUUGGAACUUGAAACAGUGAAAA